rnacentral:misc_RNA from 1 species
GAUGAAGAACGCAGCAAAAUGCGAUAAGUAAUGUGAAUUGCAGAAUUCAGUGAAUCAUCGAAUCUUUGAACGCACAUUGCGCCCGCCAGUAUUCUGGCGGGCAUGCCUGUUCGAGCGUCAUUUCAACCCUCAAGCACAGCUUGGUGUUGGGACUCGCGUUAAUUCGCGUUCCUCAAAUUGAUUGGCGGUCACGUCGAACUUCCAUAGCGUAGUAGUAAAACCCUCGUUACUGGUAAUCGUCGCGGCCACGCCGUUAAACCCCAACUUCUGAAUGUUGACCUCGGAUCAGGUAGGAAUACCCGCUGAACUUAAGCAUAUCAAUAAGCGGAGGA